rnacentral:lncRNA from 1 species
ACUACAACAAAACUGCUGAUUAGCUUCAAAUUAUUUAGCGUCUGCCCCGACACAGACGUUACUAGAGUCCGCUUUAAGUCUAACUGGUAGACGCUACUGGUUUUAUUUUUUAAAUCUUUAUUUUAAUUGAAUAAUUAUAAUUAGUGUCUGCUUUCAGAGACACUACUGAGACGCUAAGUAAAAAUAAAGAAAUCCCUCAUCUUAGAAUCUGCUGAGGCGGACUCUAGUCAUAAAUAAUAAAUUAAAUAAAAAUUAAAUUAUUUGUUAAGCGCCAAAAAAAUUUCACAAUUUUUCAUUUUCCCCUUUUUUUUUUUCUUUUCACUUUUUUUUAGGGCAAUUUCAUUCUUACUGAUAGAAUACGGAGUAUAUCAUUUAAUUUAUUAUAUGUCUUAAAAUAAUUUUCCUUUUUUUUCCCCAAAUCUCAAAGAACACAAACAAAACAUCUUCGCCGUUCCUGAACCUUAACCCUAUUCCGCGUUCAUUCCGUUGAAGAACAAUCACUUCGCCGUCCACUUACGCCGUUCACUUCCGCCAUCGAAGAAGCUCUCACAGUCAACAAGUUAGUUCCUUAACUCUUGUUCUUUUAAUUUUGAGUUAGUGCAUGUUUGGAUUCCCUUCUGUUUCCAUGUAUUCUGUAUUGUGACUCUUCUAAGUACC